ensembl:snRNA U2 U2 spliceosomal RNA
AAACUUUUUUCGAAAGAAAAAUUCUGUUCUUCAGUUUAAUAUCUGAUACGUCCCCUACCUGGGGGACCAUAUAUUAAAUUAAUUUUUGCACCAAGGUGAUGGAAUAUGGGGCUUGCUCUGUCCACUCCUCACAUUGACCCAGUAUUGCAGUAUCUCCAGAAAUGGCUCACAGCCU